rnacentral:rRNA from 1 species
GACGAACGCUGGCGGCGUGCUUAACACAUGCAAGUCGAACGGUAAGGCCCUUCGGGGUACACGAGUGGCGAACGGGUGAGUAACACGUGGGUGAUCUGCCCUGCACUUCGGGAUAAGCCUGGGAAACUGGGUCUAAUACCGGAUAGGACCACUGCCUGCAUGGGUGGUGGUGGAAAGCUUUUGCGGUGUGGGAUGGGCCCGCGGCCUAUCAGCUUGUUGGUGGGGUGAUGGCCUACCAAGGCGACGACGGGUAGCCGGCCUGAGAGGGUGACCGGCCACACUGGGACUGUGAUACGGCCGAGGCUCCUACGGGAGGCAGCAGUGGGGAAUAGUGCACAAUGGGCGCAAGCCUGAUGCAGCGACGCCGCGUGAGGGAUGACGGCCUUCGGGUUGUGAACCUCUUUCAGCACCGACGAAGCGCAAGUGACGGUAGGUGCAGAAGAAGGACCGGCCAACUACGUGCCAGCCGCCGCAGUAA